rnacentral:rRNA from 1 species
UGAGGAAUAUUGGACAAUGGGCGCAAGCCUGAUCCAGCAAUGCCGCGUGCAGGAUGAAGGCCUUCGGGUUGUAAACUGCUUUUGUACGGAGCGAAAAGGUCUGCCCUAAUACGGUGGGCUCAUGACGGUACCGUAAGAAUAAGCACCGGCUAACUACGUGCCAGCAGCCGCGGUAAUACGUAGGGUGCGAGCGUUAAUCGGAAUUACUGGGCGUAAAGCGUGCGCAGGCGGUUAUAUAAGACAGAUGUGAAAUCCCCGGGCUCAACCUGGGAACUGCAUUUGUGACUGCAUAGCUGGAGUGCGGCAGAGGGGGGUGGAAUUCCGCGUGUAGCAGUGAAAUGCGUAGAUAUGCGGAGGAACACCGAUGGCGAAGGCAAUCCCCUGGGCCUGCACUGACGCUCAUGCACGAAAGCGUGGGGAGCAAACA